rnacentral:misc_RNA from 1 species
GAGCAGAUUCGGGCAAUUGAUCUCAUUUUAUCUAAAUUAGUUGAAGACCCUCACUACUCUCAGACUAUGCAUACCCCAUUUUCAUAUGCUGGAGCAUACAAUUCGAUGAACUAUCCAAAUGGGGCAGGUGGAAAGUUUCAGAAUAACAAGGAGGAUCGUACCAACUCGGUGACAAUUGGCAUUGCCGAUGAGCAUAUUGGACUGGUUGUUGGUCGUGGUGGAAGAAAUAUAAUGGAAAUCAGCCAGGUUAGUGGAGCCAGGAUAAAAAUAUCAGAUAGAGGUGAUUUCAUGUCUGGAACAAAUGAUAGGAAAAUCACGAUCACUGGGUCACAGAGAGCCAUCUGUUCAGCGGAAGGAAUGAUUAUGCAGAAGGUAGCCUAUGCUUCUGAAAGGGGGUCAGAUUAGUUUUCAAGAAAUCUGAUUUAUUCUUGUUCUGAAUCUUUCUGUGGACAUGCCAAUUUCCAUAUUUGUUAAUUUAGAUACCUGUCCAUAAAGAGAGCUGGUUAGCAAUUUCAAAAUCUAUGACCAGAAGAGUGAAAAGAAGAGAAAUUUUUUCAGGGAGAGAGAGAGCUUUCUGUAGGAAGCUAUUCGAGGGUAUAAAUUGUGUCUGUGGGGGAAGAAAAGAAGGAAUUGAAUUAGGCUAUGGUAGCUU